ACCUUCUGUCAGAGCUGAGUGUGAUGGUGCUGUGUAGUCACAAUGCAAGUCCUCAGGAGACAGAGACAGGAGUUCAAGGACAGCUUGUACUGUAUGAGACCAAAAGGGAGGGAGAGACAGGUGAUAACUAAACUGCAGGCAGCAAAGCUGGAAAGGCAGAGCCAUAUAGGCCCUGACAUCAAGCAUGAAGCUACAGGACAGCGUCUCUCAUGGAAGCCAGAGCUUGCCAGCCCUGGGAUUCCACAGUCACCAUGCCUGUGCUUCCACAGCAGUGCCCGGGGUUGAACACAGGUCCUCACGUCUGCAAGGCAAGCACUCACCUACGAGCUUCUGUCUCCACCUUCUAAGUGACAGUGUAAGCACCGAGGCUUCAGCUCUGAGUCAGCCCUUUCAUCUCCUAAGGCCACCUACGAGGAAUUCCAUGAUCCGUGCCUGUGUUUUGAGUA